rnacentral:rRNA from 1 species
GAUGAAUGCUGGCGGCGUGCCUAACACAUGCAAGUCGAGCGGCAGCGCGAGUAGUUUACUACUUGGCGGCGAGCGGCGGACGGCUGAGUAACGCGUGGGAACGUGCCCCAAAGUGAGGGAUAACGCACCGAAAGGUGUGCUAAUACCGCAUAUGAUCUUCGGAUUAAAGAAUUUAUUCGCUUUGGGAGCGGCCCGCGUCGGAUUAGGUAGUUGGUAGGGUAAUGGCCUACCAAGCCGACGAUCCGUAGCUGGUCUGAGAGGAUGACCAGCCAGACUGGAACUGAGACACGGUUCAGACUCCUACGGGAGGCAGCAGUGAGGAAUCUUCCACAAUGGGCGAAAGCCUGAUGGAGCAACGCCGCGUGCAGGAUGAAGGCCUUCGGGUUGUAAACUGCUUUUAUAAGUGAAGAAUAUGACGGUAACUUAUGAAUAAGCACCGGCUAACUACGUGCCAGCAGCCGCCGUAA